GGGAUAGUAUUGUAAGUGGUCUGCAAAUUUGUUUGAAGCACAAAAGGAGUCUGUUCAAUUCAGACCUGUCCCACCA
rnacentral:tRNA from 1 species